UUGACCUCGGAUCAGGUAGGGAUACCCGCUGAACUUAAGCAUAUCAAUAAGCGGAGGAAAAGAAACCAACAGGGAUUGCCUCAGUAACGGCGAGUGAAGCGGCAAGAGCUCAAAUUUGAAAGCUGGCUCCUUCGGGGUCCGCAUUGUAAUUUGCAGAGGAUGCUUCGGGAGCGGCCCCCAUCUAAGUGCCCUGGAACGGGCCGUCAUAGAGGGUGAGAAUCCCGUAUGGGAUGGGGUGCCCGCGACCAUGUGAAGCUCCUUCGACGAGUCGAGUUGUUUGGGAAUGCAGCUCUAAAUGGGUGGUAAAUUUCAUCUAAAGCUAAAUAUUGGCCGGAGACCGAUAGCGCACAAGUAGAGUGAUCGAAAGAUGAAAAGCACUUUGAAAAGAGAGUUAAAAAGCACGUGAAAUUGUUGAAAGGGAAGCGCUUGCGACCAGACUCGCCCGCGGGGUUCAGCCGGUAUUCGUACCGGUGUACUUCCCCGCGGGCGGGCCAGCGUCGGUUUGGGCGGCCGGUCAAAGGCCCUCGGAAUGUAACGCCUCUCGGGGCGUCUUAUAGCCGAGGGUGCCAUGCGGCCAGCCCGGACCGAGGAACGCGCUUCGGCACGGACGCUGGCAUAAUGGUCGUAAGCGACC
rnacentral:rRNA from 1 species